UGCCCAGGUUUGACCACAUGAAGGGGGAAGUCUCGGUCAGGAACCUGGCCACAUCAAAGCGGAAGCCCAGGUCAAAAAUGGUGUAGCAAGUUCCUGCAGCCACGAGAACAAAACA